rnacentral:misc_RNA from 1 species
GAUGAAGAACGUAGCGAAAUGCGAUACUUGGUGUGAAUUGCAGAAUCCCGUGAACCAUCGAGUCUUUGAACGCAAGUUGCGCCUCAAGCCAUUAGGUUGAGGGCACGUCUGCCUGGGCGUCCCACAUCGUUGCCUGAUGCCAGUUUCCUCGUGAUGGGUGACUGUGCAGGGCGAAUGAUGGCUUCCCGUGAGCAUUGUUGCCUCAUGGUUGGUUGAAAAUUGAGUCCUUGGUAGGGAGCGCCGUGAUAGAUGGUGGUUGAGUGACGAACGAGACCCAAUCAUGUGAGACCCCUACCGAAUUUGGCCUUCAUGACCCACAUGCGUCUUUGGAACGCUCAUGACGAGACCUCAGGUCAGGCGGGGCUACCCGCUGAGUUUAAGCAUAUCAAUAAGCGGAGGA